AGGCUUUGGAAAGAGGAGAUUAAGCACAUAAUAACGGCAAUAAAAUGUCUUGAAUUUCCAGAUGAUGUCCAUGACACACCAGAGGUUGCCGCAGCCGAGAGCUUUAUAAAAUGCUGACUGUUCUCAAAAAAGGACGCUUUGGAGAAUAUUUCUUGUCUUCUGGGCAACCCACUUUUCUCCAAAAAAACGACAUCAGGCCAUUUGAAGAUAGCCAUUGCAGGCAUCAUGGAUUAUACCAAGUAACACCUCUGUUGAUCAAACCUGGUAGUGAUGUAAGUUAGAGCUGAGGGUUCCAACAGCAGUUCUGCCAAGAUCUUGCCACAUCCUGAGACAGCUGUGCUCGCCACCAGCCCAAGUCCAAGCCCAAGCCGUUGUCAGGCCCUAAUAAGAGAUGGAGACAGCACAGCCCCCCAGGACCUGUAGUUUAUCUGAAGCAGCUGGGAAAUCCUGCUGGGGGUUGGAUGCCAGACUGGUGAUGCUUCUGGUAACUCUAGCUGGAGCUGGCAUCCUGUUGCUUCUGUACAGACUAUUACAAACACGACACAGGUUGAGGAUGGCGAGUGCAAGACAUGCUCUGGAGUAUUACAGCUUCUACCACACGGCCACUUACACGUUCAAACAGCCAUCAUUAUAUGAGAAGCUUCCGAAUGGCAAAGUUCCACACACCAUUCCACCUGUCCAAACUGUCGCCAUAGCAAGACCUGUUGUCACCACCCCACUGCCACCCCUUCCAGUACCCCUUCCAGUGCCACCCCCCCCGGCUCCUGUCCAUCCUGCAGUACCUUCACUCCAGAUGACGCCGCCUCUCCUGACUCCUCCCCUGCCCGUGAUCGACACCGCCGCACCAAGCCCCCACCAGUCAUGGGGUGCCUGCUCAGACGUCGAUGUGUACUCUCGUAUUGGAGCUUACAGGCCCUCCAGGCUCUCGAGCCUUUCUAGCCAUUCAAAGGUCAUUCUUUUCGAACACUCAUCUCUUUAAACUGAGCGUACUGUUUAUCAUGAAGUCUGAUUUCCUUCUUCCCCUUCAUAUUACUAGUUGCUUGACAGCAUAUUAGUUGCUGUCAAGUAAUUAUUACGGCUGUCAAUCGAUUAAUAUUUUUAAAUCGGAUUAAUCACACUUUGGAAUUUUUAAUCACUGGUGCCAAAUAUACCACACACAGUACCACAUUCUGCUUUGAGAUGGUAUUUGAAACUUGUUGUGCUUCAUAUUACGGUCUAUUAAUUGUAGUAUGUUAGGCAUGGGCGAGUACUGAUACCAGGUAUCGUAUUGGGCCGAUAGUGGCCUUAUUUCAAGGUGAUGGAUACUUGUGAGGGCUGCUGAUACCACCCACUGAUACUUAAGGCUAAUAAAAGGCUAAUAAAAUCUGACAUUGAGUUACUCGUCCUCACCAGUAGUUGGCACCACAGUGCAGGGAUUUGACACAUUGGCAAAUAUUCAAGUGCGUCAUAAAGAAAGAAAGGUCUUUUGUUUUCAACUGUCAUUGUGUUAAUUAAAA